AUCACCGACAGUAUCUAGCACAGCUGCUAAAGAUUUAAUAGAUGGUAUAGAAAGUCUCAUGUUCGAAGGUUAAUUAUUUUAAACGGCACGAAUAACUUGUUUCCUAUGUAUCAAAAAGGGAAAAAAAGUAUGAAACUAUAGUUUUAGAAGAUAAAAUAUACAAAAUUAUCUGCUGAAUCGGCUAUCUAAUUUUUCAAAAUUUUAAUUUUUACUAUCUAACCUUUCAAUUUGUUUGAUUUGAGCUUACUAAUAGUAUUUUGAUUUUAAAAUCUGAAUGUAUUAUUAAUUUUUACAAGUUUAAUUAGUAAUUAUCUUAAGUUUUGAAGUCAAAAUAUAUUGUUAACAGACUAAAAUCAAACAAAUUGAAAUAAUAGGUAAUAAAAAUCAAAAUUUUAAAAGGUCAGAUAGUCGAUUCAUAAUGGUCCGUAGUUCAGAUAAGUUCUGUAUAUAUAUUUUUAUCUUUAUAAAAUUUCAUUUACUAGAGGGUAUAUAUAUAAUAGUGUUUG
rnacentral:lncRNA from 1 species